GAUGAACGCUGGCGGCGUGCCUAAUACAUGCAAGUCGAGCGAACGGACGAGAAGCUUGCUUUUCUGAUGUUAGCGGCGGACGGGUGAGUAACACGUGGAUAACCUACCUAUAAGACUGGGAUAACUUCGGGAAACCGGAGCUAAUACCGGAUAAUAUUUUGAACCGCAUGGUUCAAAAGUGAAAGACGGUCUUGCUGUCACUUAUAGAUGGAUCCGCGCUGCAUUAGCUAGUUGGUAAGGUAACGGCUUACCAAGGCAACGAUGCAUAGCCGACCUGAGAGGGUGAUCGGCCACACUGGAACUGAGACACGGUCCAGACUCCUACGGGAGGCAGCAGUAGGGAAUCUUCCGCAAUGGGCGAAAGCCUGACGGAGCAACGCCGCGUGAGUGAUGAAGGUCUUCGGAUCGUAAAACUCUGUUAUUAGGGAAGAACAUAUGUGUAAGUAACUGUGCACAUCUUGACGGUACCUAAUCAGAAAGCCACGGCUAACUACGU
rnacentral:rRNA from 1 species